UUUUUUUUUUAGGGUUUUUGAUCUGCUCAGGAUGUACGCUGGGCCGCGUGCCUAAUACAUGCAAGUCGAACGAGUUCUGAUUAUUGAAAGGUGCUUGCAUCUUGAUUUAAUUUUGAACGAGUGGCGGACGGGUGAGUAACACGUGGGUAACCUGCCCUUAAGUGGGGGAUAACAUUUGGAAACAGAUGCUAAUACCGCAUAAAUCCAAGAACCGCAUGGUUCUUGGCUGAAAGAUGGCGUAAGCUAUCGCUUUUGGAUGGACCCGCGGCGUAUUAGCUAGUUGGUGAGGUAACGGCUCACCAAGGCAAUGAUACGUAGCCGAACUGAGAGGUUGAUCGGCCACAUUGGGACUGAGACACGGCCCAAACUCCUACGGGAGGCAGCAGUAGGGAAUCUUCCACAAUGGACGCAAGUCUGAUGGAGCAACGCCGCGUGAGUGAAGAAGGCUUUCGGGUCGUAAAACUCUGUUGUUGGAGAAGAAUGGUCGGCAGAGUAACUGUUGUCGGCGUGACGGUAUCCAACCAGAAAGCCACGGCUAACUACGUGCCAGCAGCCGCGGUAAUACGUAGGUGGCAAGCGUUAUCCGGAUUUAUUGGGCGUAAAGCGAGCGCAGGCGGUUUUUUAAGUCUGAUGUGAAAGCCCUCGGCUUAACCGACGGAAGUGCAUCCGGAAACUGGGAAACUUGACUGCACAAGAGGACACGGAAAACUCCAUGUGUAGCGGUGAAAUGCGUAGAUAUAUGGAAGAACACCAGUGGCGAAGGCGGCUGUCUGGUCUGUAACUGACGCUGAGGCUCGAAAGCAUGGGUAGCGAACAGGAUUAGAUACCCUGGUAGUCCAUGCCGUAAACGAUGAAUGCUAGGUGUUGGAGGGUUUCCGCCCUUCAGUGCCGCAGCUAACGCAUUAAGCAUUCCGCCUGGGGAGUACGACCGCAAGGUUGAAACUCAAAGGAAUUGACGGGGGCCCGCACAAGCGGUGGAGCAUGUGGUUUAAUUCGAAGCAACGCGAAGAACCUUACCAGGUCUUGACAUCUUUUGAUCACCUGAGAGAUCAGGUUUCCCCUUCGGGGGCAAAAUGACAGGUGGUGCAUGGUUGUCGUCAGCUCGUGUCGUGAGAUGUUGGGUUAAGUCCCGCAACGAGCGCAACCCUUAUGACUAGUUGCCAGCAUUUAGUUGGGCACUCUAGUAAGACUGCCGGUGACAAACCGGAGGAAGGUGGGGAUGACGUCAAAUCAUCAUGCCCCUUAUGACCUGGGCUACACACGUGCUACAAUGGAUGGUACAACGAGUUGCGAGACCGCGAGGUCAAGCUAAUCUCUUAGAGCCAUUCUCAGUUCGGACUGUAGGCUGCAACUCGCCUACACGAAGUCGGAAUCGCUAGUAAUCGCGGAUCAGCACGCCGCGGUGAAUAACGUUCCCGGGCCUUGUAACACACCGCCGUCACACCAUGAGAGUUUGUCAACACCGAAGCCGGUGGCGUAACCCCUGUAGAGAGCGAGCCGUCUAAUGUGGAACAAUGAUUAGGUGAAGCGUACAGGAGGAACCCGUAAAAGAGGGUUUUGUGGUGUG
rnacentral:rRNA from 2 species